rnacentral:rRNA from 1 species
UACGUAGGUGGCAAGCGUUGUCCGGAUUUACUGGGCGUAAAGAGCGCGCAGGCGGUCGUUCAAGUCGCGUGUGAAAGCCCCCGGCUCAACUGGGGAGGGUCACGCGAUACUGAUCGACUGGAAGGCAGGAGAGGGUAGUGGAAUUCCCGGUGUAGUGGUGAAAUGCGUAGAGAUCCGGAGGAACACCAGUGGCGAAGGCGACACGCUGGGCCGUACCUGACACUGAUGCGCGACAGCAUGGGGAGCAAACAGG